rnacentral:lncRNA from 1 species
GGCCGUGCAAGUGGGGGGGCAGCGCCGUGUGACCGCCACACAGCGUGGGACCAGUUGCCCCUUCUACAAUGAGUACUUCUUGUUCGAAUUUCAUGACACGCGGCUUCGUCUCCAAGACUUGCUGCUGGAGAUCACGGCACCUUCAGGAUGGACCUGGGCAUCAUCUUGGACCAGCCAGGUAUGGAAUCGUCCCCUUAUUGAGACUCUGCACGGACAAGGGCCCUAGAGAUUGACCCUGCAGUGACUCCGCAUGGACCCCUAUACACUCACUUCGGA